rnacentral:rRNA from 1 species
UGAGCAAUCUGCCCUUCUCAUCGGAAUAAGCGUGGGAAACCGCGUCUAAUGCCGAAUACGACCUCCUUUCGCAUGAUCGGAGGUGGAAAGCUCCGGCGGAGAAGGAUGAGCUCGCGGCCUAUCAGCUAGUUGGUGUGGGUAAUGGCCCACCAAGGCGACGACGGGUAGCCGGCCUGAGAGGGUGACCGGCCACACGUGGGACUGAGACACGGCCCAGACUCCUACGGGAGCAG